GCCGGGCAUGGUGGCUCAUGCCUGUAAUCCCAGCACUUUGGGAGGCCGAGGCAGGUGGAUUACCUGAGGUCAGGACUUCGAGACCAGCCUGGAGCCUGGCCAACAUGGUGAAACCCUGUCUCUA
ensembl:misc_RNA Metazoa_SRP Metazoan signal recognition particle RNA